UACGUAGGGGGCAAGCGUUGUCCGGAUUUAUUGGGCGUAAAGAGCGUGUAGGCGGCUAGAUAGGUCCGUUGUGAAAACUCGAGGCUCAACCUCGAGACGCCGGUGGAAACCAUCUAGCUAGAGUCCGGAAGAGGAGAGUGGAAUUCCUGGUGUAGCGGUGAAAUGCGCAGAUAUCAGGAGGAACACCGGUGGCGAAGGCGGGUCUCUGGGCCGAUACUGACGCUGAGGAGCGAAAGCGUGGGGAGCGAACAGG
rnacentral:rRNA from 1 species